AUUUUCAUAGUUGAGGAACAACGGCGGUUUUUCGGACCGCAGGCCCGAUAUAGCAAGUAGUCGGUGGGAAUA
rnacentral:tRNA from 1 species